rnacentral:rRNA from 1 species
AGAGUUUGAUCCUGGCUCAGGAUGAACGCUGGCGGCGUGCCUGAUACAUGCAAGUCGAGCGAACGGACGAGAAGCUUGCUUCUCUGAUGUUAGCGGCGGACGGGUGAGUAACACGUGGAUAACCUACCUAUAAGACUGGGAUAACUUCGGGAAACCGGAGCUAAUACCGGAUAAUAUUUUGAACCGCAUGGUUCAAAAGUGAAAGGCGGUCUUGCUGUCGCUUAUAGAUGGAUCCGCGCUGCAUUAGCUAGUUGGUAAGGUAACGGCUUACCAAGGCAACGAUGCAUAGCCGACCUGAGAGGGUGAUCGGCCACACUGGAACUGAGACACGGCCCAGACUCCUACGGGAGGCAGCAGUAGGGAAUCUUCCGCAAUGGGCGAAAGCCUGACGGAGCAACGCCGCGUGAGUGAUGAAGGUCUUCGGAUCGUAAAACUCUGUUAUUAGGGAAGAACAUAUGUGUAAGUAACUGUGCACAUCUUGACGGUACCUAAUCAGAAAGCCACGGCUAACUACGUGCCAGCAGCCGCGGUAAUACGUAGGUGGCAAGCGUUAUCCGGAAUUAUUGGGCGUAAAGCGCGCGUAGGCGGUUUUUUAAGUCUGAUGUGAAAGCCCACGGCUCAACCGUGGAGGGUCAUUGGAAACUGGAAAACUUGAGUGCAGAAGAGGAAAGUGGAAUUCCAUGUGUAGCGGUGAAAUGCGCAGAGAUAUGGAGGAACACCAGUGGCGAAGGCGACUUUCUGGUCUGUAACUGACGCUGAUGUGCGAAAGCGUGGGGAUCAAACAGGAUUAGAUACCCUGGUAGUCC